rnacentral:rRNA from 1 species
CGUGCUAAGGUAGCAUAAUAAUUUGCCUUUUAAUUAAUGGCUAGUAUGAAUGGACAAACGAAAAUUAAACUGUCUCAAAAAAUUUUAUAAAACUUAGUAUUUAAGUGCAGAAACUUAAAUAAAACUAAAGGACAAGAAGACCCUGUAGAGCCUAAAAUUAUUAACUUUUUAAACAAAAUUUAUUUAAAUCUUCUAUAAAAUUCAAAUUUUUAGUUGGGGCAACUAGAACAUACCCAAAUCUAUUCUAUAACAUAAGGUUAACACACCUUUUAAUUGAUCCAUUACUUAUGAUUAUCUGCAGAGGCUACCUCAGGGAUAACAGACUAAUCCUUCUUAAAAGCCCUAAUUAACAGAAGGGAUUGGCACCUCG